rnacentral:rRNA from 1 species
CGACGAUGCGUAGGGGUUCUGAGAGGAAGGUCCCCCACACUGGUACUGAGACACGGACCAGACUCCUACGGGAGGCAGCAGUGAGGAAUAUUGGUCAAUGGGAGAGAUCCUGAACCAGCCAAGCCGCGUGAGGGAAGACGGCCCUAUGGGUUGUAAACCUCUUUUGUCGGAGAACAAAACCCGGGACGUGUCCCGGACUGCGUGUAUCCGAAGAAAAAGCAUCGGCUAACUCCGUGCCAGCAGCCGCGGUAAUACGGAGGAUGCGAGCGUUAUCCGGAUUUAUUGGGUUUAAAGGGUGCGUAGGCGGUCUGUUAAGUCAGCGGUAAAAUUGCGGGGCUCAACCCCGUCGAGCCGUUGAAACUGGCAGACUUGAGUUGGCGAGAAGUACGCGGAAUGCGCGGUGUAGCGGUGAAAUGCAUAGAUAUCGCGCAGAACUCCGAUUGCGAAGGCAGCGUACCGGCGCCAGACUGACGCUGAGGCACGAAAGCGUGGGGAUCGAACAGGAUUAGAUACCCUGGUAGUCCACGCAGUAAACGAUGAAUGCUGGUUGUCCGGGUCGAAUGAGACCUGG